AGUCACUGACAUUAGAUACCCCGGUAGUCCAGGGUGUAAACGCUGCAGACUUGGUGUUGGGAACCCUUCGGGGGUGCUCAGUGCCGGAGAGAAGUUGUUAAGCCUGCUGCUUGGGGAGUAUGUCCGCAAGGAUGAAACUUAAAGGAAUUGGCGGGGGAGCACCGCAACGGGAGGAGCGUGCGGUUCAAUUGGAUUCAACGCCGAAAAACUCACCAGGAGCGACGGAUAUAUGAAGGUCAAGCUGAUGACUUUACCUGAUUUUCCG
rnacentral:rRNA from 1 species